UACGUAGGGAGCAAGCGUUGUCCGGAAUCAUUGGGCGUAAAGGGCGCGUAGGCGGCCCGUCAAGUCCCGUGUGAAAGCCCCCGGCUCAACCGGGGAACGGCGCGGGAAACUAGCAGGCUUGAGUUCGGGAGAGGGAAGCGGAAUUCCGGGUGUAGCGGUGAAAUGCGCAGAUAUCCGGAGGAACACCGGUGGCGAAGGCGGCUUCCUGGACCGACACUGACGCUGAGGCGCGAAAGCUAGGGGAGCAAACGGG
rnacentral:rRNA from 1 species